UAAAUGUAAUGUGUCACUCUCCUUUUGAU
rnacentral:piRNA from 1 species